UUCUUAUUGGAUGAAGACGACUAUGUGUCAUGUUCUAAUUGAAUGUCAAUUCUAUGAAAGAUGAAUUACAUUGUUAUUUUUAUUGACUAAUCAAAACAUGACACGUGACAAUCAUCAUUC
rfam:Glycine soja cultivar W05 scaffold3432_22, whole genome shotgun sequence.